CCUUUUCGCGAUUCAGUAUCUGGCACAGUGGAAUGAAGAGGACGAUUACAUGAGCGACGUUUACAUGGAGUGGAUAAGAGGGUUUUACAAUACAAUGACCCCAUUUGUGUCAAGCUCGCCAAGGGGAGCUUAUAUCAACUACUUGGAUAUGGAUCUUGGAGUGAAUAUGGUCGACAACUACUUAUUGCUAAAUGCUAGCAGUAGUUCUUCUUCCUCUGCUGAUGCUGUGGAAAGAGCUAGAGCAUGGGGUGAAAUGUAUUUCUUGCAUAACUAUAUUUUACAAUACAAUGACGCCAUUUGUUUCAAGCUCGCCAAGGGGAGCUUAUAUCAACUACUUGGAUAUGGAUCUUGGAGUGAAUAUGGUCGACAACUACUUAUUACGAAAUGCUACUAGUAGUUCUUCUUCCUCUGUUGAUGCUGUGGAGAGAGCUAGAGCGUGGGG
rnacentral:lncRNA from 1 species